rnacentral:rRNA from 1 species
UACAGAGGUCUCAAGCGUUGUUCGGAUUCAUUGGGCGUAAAGGGCGCGUAGGCGGCUUCAUAAGUCUUGGGUGAAAGCCCUCGGCUCAACCGAGGAAUUGCCUUGGAUACUGUGAAGCUCGAGGCUGGAAGAGGGCAGUGGAAUUCCCGGUGUAGCGGUGAAAUGCGUAGAUAUCGGAAGGAACACCAGUGGCGAAGGCGGCUGCCUGGGCCAGUUCUGACGCUGAGGCGCGAAAGCGUGGGGAGCAAACAGG